AUUGAACGCUGGCGGCAGGCCUACAACAUGCAAGUCGAGCGAGCGGCGGACGGGUGAGUAAUGUCUGGGAAACUGCCUGAUGGAGGGGGAUAACUACUGGAAACGGUAGCUAAUAACGAAUAACAUCAGAUGUGCCCAGAUGGGAUUAGCUAGUAGGUGGGGUAACGGCGCACCUAGGCGACGAUCCCUAGCUGGUCUGAGAGGAUGACCAGCCACACUGAAACUGAGACACGGUCCAGACUCCUACGGGAGGCAGCAUUGGAGAAUAUCGCACAAUGGGCGCAAGCCUUAUGCAGCCAUGCCGCGUGUGUGAAGAAGGCCUUCGGGUUGUAAAGCACUUUCAGCGGGGAGGCGGUACCCGCAGAAGAAGCACCGGCUAACUCCGUGCCAGCAGCCGCGGUAAUUC
rnacentral:rRNA from 1 species